ACGAACUGUGCGUACGUUAUUCGGAAUCACUGGGCUUAAAGGGUGCGUAGGCGGCGGCACAAGUCAGGUGUGAAAUCCCCCGGCUCAACCGGGGAACAGCGCUUGAAACUAGGUCGCUCGAGUGAGGCAGGGGUGUAUGGAACUUCCGGUGGAGCGGUGAAAUGUGUAGAGAUCGGAAGGAACGCCGGCGGCGAAAGCGGUACGCUGGGCCUUGUCUGACGCUGAGGCACGAAAGCUAGGGGAGUGAACGGGA
rnacentral:rRNA from 1 species